rnacentral:rRNA from 1 species
UACAGAGGUCCCAAGCGUUACUGAGAAUCACUGGGUUUAAAGGGUGCGUAGGUGGUCCGUUAAGUCAGUUGUGAAAUCCCCGGGCUCAACCCGGGAACUGCUUCUGAUACUGGCGGACUUGAGGCCAGUAGAGGUCACUGGAACUGACGGUGGAGCGGUGAAAUGCGUAGAUAUCGUCAGGAACGCCGGUGGUGAAGACGGGUGACUGGGCUGGUUCUGACACUGGAGGCACGAAAGCGUGGGGAGCCGAACGAGGAUUGAUGAAACCCC